UACAGAGGGGGCGAGCGUUGUUCGGAAUUACUGGGCGUAAAGGGCGCGUAGGCGGCCUUCUAAGUCGGACGUGAAAUCCCUCGGCUCAACCGAGGAACUGCGUCCGAUACUGGUUGGCUUGAAUUCGGGAGAGGGAUGCGGAAUUCCAGGUGUAGCGGUGAAAUGCGUAGAUAUCUGGAGGAACACCGGUGGCGAAGGCGACAUCCUGGACCGGUAUUGACGCUGAGGCGCGAAAGCCAGGGGAGCAAACGGG
rnacentral:rRNA from 1 species